rnacentral:rRNA from 1 species
GUACGUAGGGAGCAAGCGUUGUCCGGAUUUAUUGGGCGUAAAGAGCUCGUAGGCGGCUUAGCAAGUCGGGUGUGAAAACUCCAGGCUCAACCUGGAGACGCCACCCGGGACUGCUAUGGCUAGAGUCCGGUAGGGGAUCACGGAAUUCCAGGUGUGAGCGGUGAAAUGACGCAGAUAUCAGGAGGAACACCAGCGGCGAAGGCGGCGCUCUGGGCCGGAACUGACGCUGAGGAGCGAAAGCGUGGGUAGCAAACAGG